rnacentral:rRNA from 1 species
UACGAAGGGGGCUAGCGUUGCUCGGAAUGACUGGGCGUAAAGGGCGCGUAGGCGGAUGGUACAGUCAGAUGUGAAAUUCCUGGGCUUAACCUGGGGGCUGCAUUUGAUACGUAUUGUCUUGAGUUCGGAAGAGGGUCGUGGAAUUCCCAGUGUAGAGGUGAAAUUCGUAGAUAUUGGGAAGAACACCGGUGGCGAAGGCGGCGACCUGGUCCGGUACUGACGCUGAGGCGCGAAAGCGUGGGGAG